CAGGAUGUGAANUCCCCGGGCUCAACCUGGGAACUGCGUUNUGAACUGGGUGACUAGAGUGUNUCAGAGGGAGGUAGAAUUCCACGUGUAGCAGUGAANUGCGUAGAGAUGUGGAGGAAUACCGAUGGCGAAGGCAGCCUCCUGGGAUAACACUGACGUUCAUGCCCGAAAGCGUGGGUAGCAAACAGGAUUAGAUACCCUGGUAGUCCACGCCCUAAACGAUGUCGAUUAGCUGUUGGGCAGCAUGACUGCUUGGUAGCGAAGCUAACGCGUGAAAUCGACCGCCUGGGGAGUACGGUCGCAAGAUUAAAACUCAAAGGAAUUGACGGGGACCCGCACAAGCGGUGGAUGAUGUGGAUUAAUUCGAUGCAACGCGAAGAACCUUACCUGGUCUUGACAUGUACGGAACCCUCCAGAGACGGAGGGGUGCCUUCGGGAGCCGUAACACAGGUGCUGCAUGGCUGUCGUCAGCUCGUGUCGUGAGAUGUUGGGUUAAGUCCCGCAACGAGCGCAACCCUUGUCAUUAGUUGCCAUCAUUAAGUUGGGCACUCUAAUGAGACUGCCGGUGACAAGCCGGAGGAAGGUGGGGAUGACGUCAAGUCCUCAUGGCCCUUAUGACCAGGGCUUCACACGUCAUACAAUGGUCGGUACAGAGGGUAGCCAAGCCGCGAGGUGGAGCCAAUCUCACAAAACCGAUCGUAGUCCGGAUUGCACUCUGCAACUCGAGUGCAUGAAGUCGGAAUCGCUAGUAAUCGCAGGUCAGCAUACUGCGGUGAAUACGUUCCCGGGUCUUGUACACACCGCCCGUCACACCAUGGGAGUGGGGGAUACCAGAAGUAGGUAGGGUAACCGCAAGGAGCCCGCUUA
rnacentral:rRNA from 1 species